GAAUUGACGGGACCGCACAAGCGGUGGAGGAUGUGGUUUAAUUCGACGCAACGCGAAGAACUUACCUAGGCUUGACAUGCUGGCGAAACCGUGGAAACACGGUCCUCCGCAAGGGACGCUAGUACAGGUGGUGCAUGGUUGUCGUCAGCUCGUGUCGUGGGAUGUUGGGUUAAGUCCCGCAACGAGCGCAACCCCUAUUGUUAGUUGCCAUCAUUCAGUUGGGCACUCUAGCGAGACUGCCGGUAAUAAACCGGAGGAAGGUGGGAUGACGUCAAAUCAUCAUGCCCCUUAUGACCUGGGCUACACACGUGCUACAAUGGUUGGUACAACGAGUUGCGAGUCGGUGACGGCGAGCUAAUCUCUUAAAGCCAAUCUCAGUUCGGAUUGUAGGCUGCAACUCGCCUACAUGAAGUCGGAAUCGCUAGUAAUCGCGGAUCAGCACGCCGCGGUGAAUACGUUCCCGGGCCUU
rnacentral:rRNA from 1 species